rnacentral:rRNA from 1 species
AUUGAACGCUGGCGGAAUGCUUUACACAUGCAAGUCGAACGGCAGCACGGGGGCAACCCUGGUGGCGAGUGGCGAACGGGUGAGUAAUACAUCGGAACGUGCCCAGUCGUGGGGGAUAACGUAGCGAAAGUUACGCUAAUACCGCAUACGAUCUACGGAUGAAAGCGGGGGACCGUAAGGACUCGCGCGAUUGGAGCGGCCGAUGUCAGAUUAGGUAGUUGGUGAGGUAAGGGCUCACCAAGCCGACGAUCUGUAGCUGGACUGAGAGGACUACCAGCCACACUGGGACUGAGACACAGCCCAGACUCCUACGGGAGGAAGCAGUGGUGAAUUUUGGACAAUGGGCGCAAGCCUGAUCCAGCCAUUCCGCGUGCAGGACGAAGGCCUUCGGGUUGUAAACUGCUUUUGUACGGAACGAAAAGGCUCUGGUUAAUACCUGGGGCUCAUGACGGUACCGUAAGAAUAAGCACCGGCUAACUACGUGCCAGCAGCCGCGGUAA